rnacentral:tRNA from 1 species
UAGAAAAUAUUAUAGAGUAGUAUUAGAAGUUUUGAGCUUCUAGGUUCAAGUUCGAGUCUUGAUUUUCUAG